GACGAACGCUGGCGGCGUGCCUAAUACAUGCAAGUUGAGCGAUGAAGAUUGGUGCUUGCACCAAUUUGAAGAGCAGCGAACGGGUGAGUAACGCGUGGGGAAUCUGCCUUUGAGCGGGGGACAACAUUUGGAAACGAAUGCUAAUACCGCAUAAUAACUUUAAACAUAAGUUUUAAGUUUGAAAGAUGCAAUUGCAUCACUCAAAGAUGAUCCCGCGUUGUAUUAGCUAGUUGGUGAGGUAAAGGCUCACCAAGGCGAUGAUACAUAGCCGACCUGAGAGGGUGAGCGGCCACAUUGGGACUGAGACACGGCCCAAACUCCUACGGGAGGCAGCAGUAGGGAAUCUUCGGCAAUGGACGAAAGUCUGACCGAGCAACGCCGCGUGGGUGAAGAAGGUUUUCGGAUCGUAAAACUCUGUUGGUAGAGAAGAACGUUGGUGAGAGUGGAAAGCUCAUCAAGUGACGGUAACUACCCAGAAAGGGACGGCUAACUACGUG
rnacentral:rRNA from 1 species